GAUGAAGAACGUAGCAAAAUGCGAUAAGUAAUGUGAAUUGCAGAAUUCAGUGAAUCAUCGAAUCUUUGAACGCACAUUGCGCCCGCCAGUAUUCUGGCGGGCAUGCCUGUUCGAGCGUCAUUUCAACCCUCAAGCACAGCUUGGUGUUGGGACUCGCGUUAAUUCGCGUUCCUCAAAUUGAUUGGCGGUCACGUCGAGCUUCCAUAGCGUAGUAGUAAAACCCUCGUUACUGGUAAUCGUCGCGGCCACGCCGUUAAACCCCAACUUCUGAAUGUUGACCUCGGAUCAGGUAGGAAUACCCGCUGAACUUAAGCAUAUCAGUAAGCGGAGGA
rnacentral:misc_RNA from 1 species